rnacentral:rRNA from 1 species
CUACGGGCGGCAGCAGUGGGGAAUAUUGCAUAAUGGAGGAAACUCUGAUGCAGCAACGCCGCGUGGAGGAUGACACUUUUCGGAGCGUAAACUCCUUUUAUAUAGGAAGAAGAUGACGGUACUAUAUGAAUAAGCGCCGGCUAACUCCGUGCCAGCAGCCGCGGUAAUACGGAGGGCGCAAGCGUUACUCGGAAUCACUGGUCGUAAAGAGCGUGUAGGCGGAUUAAAAAGUCAGAAGUGAAAUCCUAUAGCUUAACUAUAGAACUGCUUCUGAAACUCUUAAUCUAGAAUAUGGGAGAGGUAGAUGGAAUUUCUGGUGUAGGGUUAAAAUCCGUAGAGAUCAGAAGGAAUACCGAUUGCGAAGGCGAUCUACUAGAACAUUAUUGACGCUGAGACGCGAAAGCGUGGGGAGCAAACAGGAUUAGAUACCCCUGUAGUC